rnacentral:rRNA from 1 species
AGCGAACGCUAGCGGCAUGCCUUACACAUGCAAGUCGAACGGCAGCACGGGGGCAACCUUGGUGGCGAGUGGCGAACGGGUGAGUAAAGCAUCGGAACGUGCCCUGGAGUGGGGGGAUAACGUAGCGAAAGUUACGCUAAUACCGCAUAUUCUGUGAGCAGGAACGCAGGGGAUCGCAAGACCUUGCGCUCUGGGAGCGGCCGAUGUCGGAUUAGCUAGUUGGUGGGGUAAAGGCCUACCAAGGCGACGAUCCGUAGCGGGUCUGAGAGGAUGAUCCGCCACACUGGGACUGAGACACGGCCCAGACUCCUACGGGAGGCAGCAGUGGGGAAUUUUGGACAAUGGGCGAAAGCCUGAUCCAGCCAUGCCGCGUGAGUGAAGAAGGCCUUCGGUUGUAAG